AUUACUUGUUUCUGAUGUUGGGGUUUUGCUUAUUUCAUCUAAGGUCUUACAUGUGGGGAUGAGGUUUAGGUUUUGCAGCCAAGGAUGACUUGCCGGCAAGCUUUAAACAUUUAUUAAGUUAAAUGGCUAUUAAAAUGUUUUUCUUCAAAGUGUAUAAAAGAAAAGGAAAUCGGCAAGUGGUCUUUGGCUACAUAUCUAUCUCAUCUUCUCAUGCUAGAUCUGUGAUGAAGAUGGUUGAAGGUUGAUGUAAAGAUGGACAGAUGGUUGAAGAAGGUGAUUUCCAACGUAUGGUGGUGGUUGUAUUAUGAUGGUUGGUUAUAUAUAAAGCUGUGUUUGUUGGAUGAGGAGGAG
rnacentral:miRNA from 1 species